GUGGGGAAUCUUCCGCAAUGGACGAAAGUCUGACGGAGCAACGCCGCGUGAGUGACGAAGGCCUUCGGGUUGUAAAGCUCUGUUGUCGGGGAAGAACACUUUGCUUGUGAAUAAUGAGCAGAGAUGACGGUACCCGACGAGGAAGCCACGGCUAACUACGUGCCAGCAGCCGCGGUAAUACGUAGGGGACGAGCGUUGUCCGGAUUUACUGGGCGUAAAGGGCGCGUAGGCGGUCAUUUAAGUCAGCUGUGAAAUGGUUUGGCUUAACCGGAUCAUGCGGUUGAAACUGGAUGACUGGAGUGAUGGAGAGGCAAGUGGAAUUCCCAGUGUAGCGGUGAAAUGCGUAGAUAUUGGGAAGAACACCGGUGGCGAAGGCGACUUGCUGGCCAGCAACUGACGCUGAGGCGCGAAAGCCAGGGGAGCAAACGGGAUUAGAAACCCGAGUAGUCC
rnacentral:rRNA from 1 species